GACUGGAGGGGUAACAAGAUGGCGGCGGAGACGGUGGAGCUCCAUAAACUGAAGCUUGCUGAACUAAAGCAGGAAUGUCUUGCUCGUGGCUUGGAGACCAAGGGAAUAAAACAAGAUCUCAUCAACCGGCUCCGGGCGUAUCUUGAAGAGCAUGCUGAAGAGGAGGCAAAUGAAGAAGAUGUACUGGGAGAUGAAACAGAGGAAGAAGAACCAAAGCCCAUAGAACUGCCUGUCAAAGAGGAAGAACCCCCUGAGAAAACUGUUGAUGUGGCAGCAGAGAAGAAAGUGGUAAAAAUUAUAUGUGAGAUACCACAGACUGAGAGAAUGCAGAAGAGAGCUGAACGAUUCAAUGUACCUGUGAGCUUGGAGAGUAAGAAAGCUGCCCGGGCAGCAAGAUUUGGGAUUUCUUCAGUUCCAUCAAAAGGUCUGUCAUCUGAUGCCAAGCCUAUGGUUAACCUGGAUAAACUAAAGGAAAGAGCCCAAAGGUUUGGUUUGAAUGUCUCUUCAAUAUCCAGAAAGUCUGAAGAUGAUGAGAAACUGAAACAGAGGAAGGAGCGAUUUGGGAUUGUUACAAGUUCAGCUGGAACAGGAACCACAGAGGAUACAGAGGCAAAGAAGAGGAAAAGGGCAGAGUGCUUUGGGAUUGCCUGAUGAAAAGCUCUUAAUGCUUUCUGUUCUCCAGUGGUUUCCAACUCUCUGACUUUUCUUGGUCAUAUAUAUACCUAAAUGCACAGUCAUGUGCCUAGGUUCUGCCUCGCAGUGAGAGAGCAUGUACCCUGGGUACAUCCAGGAACUUCAGCAGCAGUUUGACUCAUUGCUGUUCCAACUUUAAG